rnacentral:rRNA from 1 species
GAUCCUGGCUCAGGAUGAACGCUGGCGGCGUGCCUAACACAUGCAAGUCGAGCGAGAAAUCAUAAAAAUGAAACUUCGGUAGAUUUUUAAGAUGGAAAGCGGCGGACGGGUGAGUAACGCGUAGGCAACCUGCCUUAUGCAGAGGGAUAGCCAUUGGAAAACGAUGAUUAAAACCUCAUAACGCCGGAGAGUCACAUGGUUUUCCGGCCAAAGAUUUAUCGGCAUAAGAUGGGCCUGCGU